UACGGAGGGUCCAAGCGUUAUCCGGAAUCAUUGGGUUUAAAGGGUCCGUAGGCGGCUUUGUAAGUCAGUGGUGAAAGCCCAUCGCUCAACGGUGGAACGGCCAUUGAUACUGCAAGACUUGAAUUAUUAGGAAGUAACUAGAAUAUGUAGUGUAGCGGUGAAAUGCUUAGAGAUUACAUGGAAUACCAAUUGCGAAGGCAGGUUACUACUAAUGGAUUGACGCUGAUGGACGAAAGCGUGGGGAGCGAACAGG
rnacentral:rRNA from 1 species